CCUACGGGCGGCAGCAGUGAGGAAUAUUGGUCAAUGGGCUUACGCCUGAACCAGCCAAGUCGCGUGAGGGAAGACUGCCCUAUGGGUUGUAAACCUCUUUUGUCAGGGAGCAAUUGGCGCUACGUGUAGCGUUAUCGAGAGUACCUGAAGAAAAAGCAUCGGCUAACUCCGUGCCAGCAGCCGCGGUAAUACGGAGGAUGCGAGCGUUAUCCGGAUUUAUUGGGUUUAAAGGGUGCGUAGGCGGAAUGCCAAGUCAGCGGUAAAAUCGCGGGGCUCAACCUCGCUCCGCCGUUGAAACUGGCGGUCUUGAGUGGGCGAGAAGUAUGCGGAAUGCGUGGUGUAGCGGUGAAAUGCAUAGAUAUCACGCAGAACUCCGAUUGCGAAGGCAGCAUACCGGCGCCCAACUGACGCUGAAGCACGAAAGCGUGGGUAUCGAACAGGAGUAGAUACCCGGGUAGUC
rnacentral:rRNA from 1 species